ensembl:snoRNA
UCACAGCUGUUCCUCUCACUGCUUGGAGUCUUAGGUGGUGGAAUUACAGUCCAUCAUGUAUCUAAGCUGACAUGCCUUCCCGCAGGGUACUAUGAGGAUGGCUUGGCUGUUUUCUAGUGCCUUCUGGUUUUUGUGGAGUCACACAGUU